rnacentral:rRNA from 1 species
CUACGUGCCAGCAGCCGCGGUAAUACGGAGGGUGCAAGUGUUAAUCGGAAUUACUGGGCGUAAAGCGCACGCAGGCGGUCUGUCAAGUCGGAUGUGAAAUCCCCGGGCUCAACCUGGGAACUGCAUUCGAAACUGGCAGGCUAGAGUCUUGUAGAGGGGGGUAGAAUUCCAGGUGUAGCGGUGAAAUGCGUAGAGAUCUGGAGGAAUACCGGUGGCGAAGGCGGCCCCCUGGACAAAGACUGACGCUCAGGUGCGAAAGCGUGGGGAGCAAACAGGAUUAGAUACCCUGGUAGUCCACGCUGUAAACGAUGUCGACUUGGAGGUUGUGCCCUUGAGGCGUGGCUUCCGGAGCUAACGCGUUAAGUCGACCGCCUGGGGAGUACGGCCGCAAGGUUAAAACUCAAAUGAAUUGACGGGGGCCCGCACAAGCGGUGGAGCAUGUGGUUUAAUUCGAUGCAACGCGAAGAACCUUACCUACUCUUGACAUCCAGAGAAUUCGCUAGAGAUAG